rnacentral:rRNA from 1 species
AGUGAACGCUGGCGGUAGGCCUAACACAUGCAAGUCGAACGGCAGCACAGUAAGAGCUUGCUCUUACGGGUGGCGAGUGGCGGACGGGUGAGGAAUACAUCGGAAUCUACUUUUUCGUGGGGGAUAACGUAGGGAAACUUACGCUAAUACCGCAUACGACCUACGGGUUAAAGCAGGGGAUCUUCGGACCUUGCGCGAUUGAAUGAGCCGAUGUCGGAUUAGCUAGUUGGCGGGGUAAAGGCCCACCAAGGCGACGAUCCGUAGCUGGUCUGAGAGGAUGAUCAGCCACACUGGAACUGAGACACGGUCCAGACUCCUACGGGAGGCAGCAGUGGGGAAUAUUGGACAAUGGGCGCAAGCCUGAUCCAGCCAUACCGCGUGGGUGAAGAAGGCCUUCGGGUUGUAAAGCCCUUUUAUUGGGAAAGAAAAGCAGCAGGUUAAUACCCCGCUGUUCUGACGGUACCCAAAGAAUAAGCACCGGCUAACUUCGUG